GUCUCUGUAGCGUAAUGGAUAUAGCGCGUUGGGCUUCUAAUCCAAAGGUUGUAAUCUCGAGUCCUACCUGGGAUG